CCCUUUUCUUUUCUCCAGCUGGCACGGGAUGAGGAGGUCACUCUGAGUGCAGUGUUUUCCAUUCUCCUGUUUAAGAAGCAUCCCCCGGGGCUCCCUCUGCCUGUGUGACUGGCCAGCAGGGGGCGGUGGUCACUUUCUAUCCACUUCUCAGGCACUGUGAGACAGGCUGCAGAAUGGCGUCCAUGUUUUCCUCCAGCUCAUCCCAGCCUGGCGUG